GGUCAGGUGGAGAUGACAGAGCAAGAGACCCUGAAAGGUCUGUUGAAGUCAGCAGAGAAGUUAUGGUGCAGAGGAGGGAUGUUAGUUUGCAAGUGAACAUGGAUGAAGAAAGUAUGGGAGAGUCUAAGAGUUCAAGUUCAGGAGAAGUUGAUCCCUCCAUGCUGAGUACAGCUACCAAGAGAGGUAGGAAAUGGGGAAGA
rnacentral:lncRNA from 1 species